AAAAGAGCAUUCAGAGAUCCCGAUGUCCAUUGUGCAAGAGGGUGUUUAGCGUGCAGUGCAAUGUAGCUUGGCAUUCAGGUGUGGAUUGCAACAAGUUUCAGAAACUUAAAAUCCUUGGCUCAGAUAAUACGUUUGUUGAUUUGGCUACGAGGAAGAAGUGGAGGCAAUGCCCUAAUUGCAAGAUGUUGGUUGGAAAAUCAUUUGGUUGCCAUCAUGUUAAAUGCCGGUGCGGAGAACGCUUCUGUUACAAUUAUGGAGGAAAAUUAAACAAUCGUCCUCAUCUGUGGUGCAUGUGAGCAUGGGAAAGACGAUGAAGCUCCUGAUGGCAGCUGCUUUAAAUAUUUCUGUACAACACCACAGUUUCGUGGGGAUGCUCUUUGCAAAAAUAAUAAUGUGUGCCAUUGUGCUUGUUGAUUUUAAUUAUAAGUAAAAUAAAAUUGGUAUUAAUGAAAA